rnacentral:rRNA from 1 species
GACGAACGCUGGCGGCGUGCUUAACACAUGCAAGUCGAACGGAAAGGCCCUGCUUUUGUGGGGUGCUCGAGUGGCGAACGGGUGAGUAACACGUGAGUAACCUGCCCUUGACUUUGGGAUAACUUCAGGAAACUGGGGCUAAUACCGGAUAGGAGCUCCUGCUGCAUGGUGGGGGUUGGAAAGUUUCGGCGGUUGAGGAUGGACUCGCGGCUUAUCAGCUUGUUGGUGGGGUAGUGGCUUACCAAGGCUUUGACGGGUAGCCGGCCUGAGAGGGUGACCGGCCACAUUGGGACUGAGAUACGGCCCAGACUCCUACGGGAGGCAGCAGUGGGGAAUAUUGCACAAUGGGCGGAAGCCUGAUGCAGCAACGCCGCGUGCGGGAUGACGGCCUUCGGGUUGUAAACCGCUUUCGCCUGUGACGAAGCGUGAGUGACGGUAAUGGGUAAAGAAGCACCGGCUAACUACGUGCCAGCAGCCGCGGUGAUACGUAGGGUGCGAGCGUUGUCCGGAUUUAUUGGGCGUAAAGGGCUCGUAGGUGGUUGAUCGCGUCGGAAGUGUAAUCUUGGGGCUUAACCCUGAGCGUGCUUUCGAUACGGGUUGACUUGAGGAAGGGUAGGGGAGAAUGGAAUUCCUGGUGGAGCGGUGGAAUGCGCAGAUAUCAGGAGGAACACCAGUGGCGAAGGCGGUUCUCUGGGCCUUUCCUGACGCUGAGGAGCGAAAGCGUGGGGAGCGAACAGGCUUAGAUACCCUGGUAGUCCACGCUGUAAACGGUGGGUACUAGGUGUGGGGUCCAUUCCACGGGUUCCGUGCCGUAGCUAACGCUUUAAGUACCCCGCCUGGGGAGUACGGCCGCAAGGCUAAAACUCAAAGGAAUUGACGGGGCCCCGCACAAGCGGCGGAGCAUGCGGAUUAAUUCGAUGCAACGCGUAGAACCUUACCUGGGUUUGACAUGGAUCGGGAGCGCUCAGAGAUGGGUGUGCCUCUUUUGGGGUCGGUUCACAGGUGGUGCAUGGCUGUCGUCAGCUCGUGUCGUGAGAUGUUGGGUUAAGUCCCGCAACGAGCGCAACCCUUGUUCACUGUUGCCAGCACGUUAUGGUGGGGACUCAGUGGAGACCGCCGGGGUCAACUCGGAGGAAGGUGGGGAUGACGUCAAGUCAUCAUGCCCCUUAUGUCCAGGGCUUCACGCAUGCUACAAUGGCUGGUACAGAGAGUGGCGAGCCUGUGAGGGUGAGCGAAUCUCGGAAAGCCGGUCUCAGUUCGGAUUGGGGUCUGCAACUCGACCUCAUGAAGUCGGAGUCGCUAGUAAUCGCAGAUCAGCAACGCUGCGGUGAAUACGUUCCCGGGGCU